rnacentral:rRNA from 1 species
UGCCUGGCGGCCUUAGCGCGGUGGUCCCACCUGACCCCAUGCCGAACUCAGAAGUGAAACGCCGUAGCGCCGAUGGUAGUGUGGGGUCUCCCCAU